ensembl:lncRNA RUNX3-AS1 RUNX3 antisense RNA 1
CAAAAGGGAAGUCAUCUUCCGUUGGUCUAUGGGGACCCUGAGGUAGUAGGAGCUCGGUGAUAAUUCUAGGGACCACCCUGGGUUGUCAGGUGGGGGAGACAGAGAAGCCCACAUAGGAGGCACCAAAUGCAACUCACUCGUGCCCUUUUACUCAUGAGAGAACACGGAUCCAGAGAUGUCAAGUGACUCAGACACAGUCUCACAGCACACAGGCGGCAGAGGCAGGUAGGGGACUGGGCUUCCCUGGCAGCAGUCCCCAAGCCUGCCUGAGAGGCACAUCAGAAUCGCUUUAGGGGAUUUGCAAAACCACACCUGCCCAGGCCCAAACCCUAGAGAUUCUGAUUCCGCAGUCUGAGGUAGGAAUGGAGAAUCCUCCACAGCCUGAGGUAGGAACUGGGAAUCCAGUGUUUAAAACUCUCUAGGGGCGGUGAUUUCAGAAAACCUGCUGGCUCCAUCACACUUUGCUCAGGGACUGAGAUGGGAUGGCAUUUGGAAGACACAGCUGAAAUUUAGCAUCAUAUUCCAUGGCGAUUUUCCACCAGUGGAAAUCACAGGUGUUCUCUGGUAUCACAGCGGGGUCAGGGAUGACCUGAAAUAUUGUUCAUGCUCAUCACAACUGCAUGGCCCACCGCGGGGUCUUGUCACUCAGUGAGUUCUUGAAGAGGCACAGACAAAUGGAGUUCAACAAAUGGAAAACAACUGCCUUUAAUUAGCUCCGAGGACUACAAAGGGAACAACGUUAUAAUAGCAGCAACUCCAAGGAAGCAGCCACAGCUCUCAGCUCUCAGACCUGGGGCUGCCGCUCAUCAUCAGCUACAGC